rnacentral:tRNA from 1 species
UCCCUGGUGGCUCGACAGUAAAGCAUCUGCCUGCAGUGCAGGAGACCCGGGUUCGAUUCCUGGGUCGGGAA